rnacentral:rRNA from 1 species
GCAGUCGAACGGUAACGCGGGGCAACCUGGCGACGAGUGGCGAACGGGUGAGUAAUAUAUCGGAACGUGCCCAGUUGUGGGGGAUAACUACUCGAAAGAGUGGCUAAUACCGCAUGAGACCUGAGGGUGAAAGCGGGGGACUCGCAAGAGCCUCGCGCAGUUGGAGCGGCCGAUAUCAGAUUAGCUAGUUGGCGGGGUAAAAGCCCACCAAGGCAACGAUCUGUAGCUGGUCUGAGAGGACGACCAGCCACACUGGGACUGAGACACGGCCCAGACUCCUACGGGAGGCAGCAGUGGGGAAUUUUGGACAAUGGACGCAAGUCUGAUCCAGCCAUGCCGCGUGCGGGAAGAAGGCCUUCGGGUUGUAAACCGCUUUUGUCAGGGAAGAAACGGCUCGGGUUAAUACCUUGGGCUAAUGACGGUACCUGAAGAAUAAGCACCGGCUAACUACGUGCCAGCAGCCGCGGUAAUACGUAGGGUGCAAGCGUUAAUCGGAAUUACUGGGCGUAAAGCGUGCGCAGGCGGUUAUGCAAGACAGAUGUGAAAUCCCCGGGCUCAACCUGGGAACUGCAUUUGUGACUGCAUGGCUAGAGUACGGUAGAGGGGGAUGGAAUUCCGCGUGUAGCAGUGAAAUGCGUAGAUAUGCGGAGGAACACCGAUGGCGAAGGCAAUCCCCUGGACCUGUACUGACGCUCAUGCA